UACGAAGGGGGCUAGCGUUGCUCGGAAUCACUGGGCGUAAAGCGCACGUAGGCGGCUUUUUAAGUCAGGGGUGAAAUCCUGGAGCUCAACUCCAGAACUGCCUUUGAUACUGGAAAGCUUGAGUCCGGAAGAGGUGAGUGGAACUCCGAGUGUAGAGGUGAAAUUCGUAGAUAUCAGGAAGAACACCAAUGGCGAAAGCAGCUUUCUGGGACGGUACUGACGCUGAGACGCGAAAGCGUGGGGAGCGAACAGG
rnacentral:rRNA from 1 species